rnacentral:rRNA from 1 species
UACGUAGGGGGCGAGCGUUGUCCGAAGUUACUGGGCGUAAAGCGCGCGUAGGCGGCUCUUUAAGUGUGGGGUGAAAGGUUCGGGCUCAACCCGGACACUGCCUUUCAUACUGGGGACCUUGAGUGCGGGAGGGGCGAGUGGAAUGGUCGGUGUAGCGGUGAAAUGCGUAGAUAUCGAGAGGAACACCUGCGGCGAAGGCGGGUUGCUGGGCUGACACUGACGCUGAUGCGCGAAAGCUAGGGGAGCGAACGGG